rnacentral:rRNA from 1 species
GUGCCAGCCGCCGCGGUAAUACGUAGGGUGCGAGCGUUGUCCGGAAUUAUUGGGCGUAAAGGGCUCGUAGGCGGUUUGUCGCGUCGGGAGUGAAAUCCACUGGCUUAACUGGUGGCUUGCUUUCGAUACGGGCAGACUGGAGGUAUGCAGGGGAGAACGGAAUUCCUGGUGUAGCGGUGAAAUGCGCAGAUAUCAGGAGGAACACCGGUGGCGAAGGCGGUUCUCUGGGCAUGUCCUGACGCUGAGGAGCGAAAGUGUGGGGAGCGAACAGGAUUAGAAACCCCCGUAGUCC